CUCUCUCCCUGCCCUUCUCCCACUCAUACUCUGUCUCUCCCUCUCUCAAAAAUAAACAUUAAAAAAAAAUAAUUAACUUCAGGAAAAGUAGAAAGUUGUGCAUGAAAGGCAAAAUAAUCAUAGUAUACACCACAUGGCUCAGAGCAGUCCUGUAUUUCUUAUAUAUUCAUAACAGUGUAAACACAGGAUUAUUCAUAACACUAGUAACCAGGAUUUCCAUAGGACUCUAAUGGAAAUAUGGAGGAUGGCAAAAGUCUGCAGGCAUGUGUCUCUUGGGGAUCCAUGCAGGCGUGUGUGAGAAAGGAGGUGAAAUCCUCAUCCUGCACAGCUGGAAGUCUACAAGUCAUGUCUAAAACUGAAAAAUCAAGAAACAGAAAAACAAGCACACUAUGUGAAACUAUUCAAGAGCAGAGCGGUGCCAUGGACCAGAAGGAAUAUGGGGAGCUACCAUGUCUUGGCACACUCAGCCAAGCAGAACCUCCUACUCCUCCUGCGAUGGGGGAGACCCAAAGGUAACCUCACAAUCAAGAAUCAUCAGUGUUUGAGAAAACCAACACUACACGAGAGAGGCAUAAACCUCAAUGGAGUUGACGAGGAAAUCAAUCAGCUGAAAAUGUGGCUGUGGAAUUCUCCCAGAAUCAAUUAAGACAGAACAAAGAAAUGAAGAGUACGAAAGAAAAUUUAAAAGAGUUCUGGAGGAUACAUCUAUUACUCAGGAAUUCCAAUAUCCAUCUAAGAGAUAGAACGUUCACCAAGACUGAUUAGACAUUAAUUUCAACAUAUUCUAUCAAGCAGAACACAUACAGGCUACAUUCACAAUGCAGUAUAAUUAAAAGCUGGAAGAAUGACAGGGAAAAACAAAACAAAACAAAACAAAACUCUAUCUGGAAGUUAAAAGAUGUUCUUCUAAGACAACUUUUGGGUUAAACAACUCAAAAUGGAAACCUCAAACUAUUUAGAAAUGAACAACAAUGAGAACUUAUGUCAAUUAUUAAGCUAUGGUCUCCUAGCUCCAAACCCACCUUGUAUCCUCUGCUGUGACACUGAGGCUGGAAUUCUGUAAAUCACUGUUUUCACAGCAGCUCUAUGCUGGGCUCUGCCAGUAUGCAGGGCUAGAGGGAGAUGGUGGGGAUGGAGAAGAGAGGGACUUCCUCUUUCCCAUUUGCUUUCGUCACUCCAGCAAUGGUCCUUCACUCUGGCAGCAAUAGUUGGUUCUAGCCUCAACCAUUUUUUUCUGGCAUUUACAGAUCCUGCCUCACUGCGCUCUUUCAGAGGCAAGAGCACCAAUUGGGUAGCAUCCUUUCCUCAAAGUCUGAGAUCCAGCCCUGCUGGGCGUCUCCUCCAGUUCCUGUGGUCCCAACAUCUGCUGGGUAGUGUGCCCUCCUUGAGAGUUGGAGUUUGUCUCUCCUAACUUCUAGGUUCGGACACCCUCAACCUCUCUUUGUUCCCCUAGACCCAGUGGGUGCUAGGUGCUUCCUGAAGUUAUUGCCACUGUUACCUCAGGUUCUCUUUUACAGUCAGCCCUGUGUGUAGUACCCAUACCUCUCCUGAUGGUCCCUUUACCAUUUUUGUGCACACAGGCUCAGAAAGUGCUUUCAAGUCCAACAGCCAGCAUCUGCUCCUCUUUGUAUGUGUCCAGAGAGUCAAAGUGCCUGGGAAUUUUUGUCCACCCCUUCCCCACCCGCUCCCCCCAUUAGUCAAUGACCAUGGAGGUAUUACUACUAUAGCUUCUUUGCCCCUGAUCAGGAUGACUCUAAGAGGUCUGGUCCAUAGUCUCCAGAGCUCCCCUGUGGGAUUUUGCCAGUUAUAGUCAUUGGAUUUUGCUUGAUACCACAUCCUACUUGGCCUCCUGCCCUUCCUGGCCCCACAUCCCCACUCCCCUCCCAGUUUUCCUUGGGAUCCUCUUCCUAAUAAAUUACUUUCACACAAA